rnacentral:rRNA from 1 species
AGAGUUUGAUCCUGGCUCAGAACGAACGCUGGCGGCAGGCCUAACACAUGCAAGUCGAGCGCCCAGCAAUGGGAGCGGCGGACGGGUGAGUAACACGUGGGAAUUUUCCUCAAGGUACGGAACAACUCAGGGAAACUUGGGCUAAUACCGUAUGAUGCAGAGAUGCCAAAGAUUUAUCGCCUUGGGAUAAGCCCGCGUCAGAUUAGGUAGUUGGUGGGGUAAUGGCCUACCAAGCCUGUGAUCUGUAGCUGGUCUGAGAGGACGAUCAGCCACAUUGGGACUGAGACACGGCCCAAACUCCUACGGGAGGCAGCAGUGGGGAAUCUUGCGCAAUGGGCGAAAGCCUGACGCAGCCAUGCCGCGUGAAUGAUGAAGGUCUUAGGAUUGUAAAGUUCUUUCGCCCGUGACGAUGAUGACGGUAACGGGAGAAGAAGCCCCGGCUAACUUCGUGCCAGCAGCCGCGGUAAUACGAAGGGGGCUAGCGUUGUUCGGAAUUACUGGGCGUAAAGCGCGCGUAGGCGGUUUUGCAAGCCAGAGGUGAAAUGCCCGAGCUCAACUUGGGAAUUGCCUUUGGGACUGUGAGGCUUCGAGGACGGAAGAGGUGAGUGGAAUUCCCAGUGUAGAGGUGAAAUUCGUAGAUAUUGGGAAGAACACCGGUGGCGAAGGCGGCUCACUGGUCCGUUUCUGACGCUAAAGCGCGAAAGCGUGGGGAUCAAACAGGAUUAGAUACCCUGGUAGUCCACGCUGUAAACGAUGAGUGCUAGGCGUCGGCAGGCUUGCCUGUCGGUGCCGCAGCUAAC